AAUCCAUGACGUGGGCAUGCUCUUAACAACUCUUUAUAUCUCUCCCAAGCUUCGAACAAUGAUUCUCCUUGGUGUAACACCUCAAAAUUUGCCCUCCUAUUCUUGGGACU